AAAUGUUUUAGAACAUUUUCUCCCUAACGACCAGUAAGAUCACUCCUGCCCAUUGACAGUUAAUCCCUGUUUCCACUCAGCUCCCAGCAACCACUCACCUGCUUUCUAAUUGCCUUCUCUAAACACUCCGUAUGAAUGCUACGUAUCAUACAAUAGGUAAUCUCUUGUGCCUAGUUUCUUUCCUCUAGCAUAAGUUUGAGGUUUGCCUGUGAUGUAGCACGUGUCGGUUCAUUUUCUGUUGCUGUUGCUGAAUAAUAUUCCAUUGUAUAGAUAUAUCACAUUUUGCCUAUAUGUUCACCAAAUGAUGGACAUUUUAAUUUCCAGUUUGUUUUCCCUAACAUACUAUACAUUUUACCUUCUUUCUUCCACUAGAAUGUCAAUUCCAUGAGGUUGGAAUUUUUGCUGGAAAUUUUGUUCACCUCUGCACCCCCAGCACUUGAACUGUGCUGGACACAUAGUAGGUGCUCAAUAAAUAUAUGCUGCAGGAACGAGUGAGAAUAAAGAUAACUUCAGAGAGUGGUAAGCAAGGGCUGUGCCGGCCAUCAAGCAGGGCAGAGGGGGUGGACUGACGGGGCUCCGUGGAGUGGGGAGUGGAGCAGGCUCCUCUAAGUUAUGGACUUUGGAGCAGAGAUCUGAGUGCACAGGCUGAUGACUGCAUGUUUAUCAUCACCCCCAGGGCCCAGCCACCUGUCCCUGCCAUAGACACAGGCCUCCCAGCUGCUGGUGGCAGGGCAGGGCUGGGCUGGAGAGAAACUCAAAAGGACACAUCAUGACAGUGAUGGGAACAGCUCAGGGCCCCAGCUCCUCUGCGAGCCCCACCUGGGCCCAGCCCAGAGUGGGGAGGGAAAGCUGGGCUCUGCUGACUGCCCUUCCACUGAGCACCCUCCAGGGUGAGAUGGGGGCCAGGCAGAGCCUGGGACUUGAGCCACACGUGUGAGCCCCAGUUCUAGUCUGUUUAUUGCUGCAUUUCCCCUCGUCAUCUUACUUAACUGUUUGCUCCCUCUGUCUUCUCACCUGUAAAACAGGGAUAGUAGCAAUACUUACAUUUUAUUUUUAAAAAGCCAAAACAUUAUUUCCUAAGCACUUACUCUGCCAGGCACAGUUCUAGGAAACCAAUCCAUGAUUCUUACAUUGACCCCAUUAUGGUAGCUGUCAUUUACAAAUGAGGAAACUGAAGCACAGGGAGGCGAAGCAACUUUCCCUGUAUCACCCCGCUACUAAAUGGUACAGAUGGGCUUCAACAAGCUGGUCCCAAGUUCACGCUCUUCUUUAGACUGUUUCUCACCAAGCCACAGAGAGGGAGUUGGUUGGGAAUAGCGCCUGGCACACAGCAACUGAUAGUGUCCUCAUGGCUCACAGGUCACAGGGAGCCACUUCCCUCAUUUCUUCAAAAGCAGGCAUCUGACCCUUUUUGGGGAAGCUGAUGACAGCUCUGCUCCUCAGAAAUCUGCAUCUGCCAACCCCAACCCCAUCCACACAGCUCCUGCUCAUUGCCAAGGCUGGGGCAGGCAGGUUUGUUCGUUUUUUCUUCUUCUUUUGCAGUUAACUGUCCACUCUCCCUAUAGCCCUGAGGAAAAGCUGGGUGGUGCUGGGGAGGGGCUAAGGACUAAACAAAGCUCAGGUGGGGCUCCCAGCAUUCCUUGGGAGGGCAGGUUCCACUGCCCCUCCCCAAGCCUUCUGGACACACCUUCUUGCCGCUAUAAAACUUGAGGCUACAGUGGGUGCACUCCUGGCAGCAGGAAACUUAGGGCACAGGGGACAUUACCUGCGCCAAUCCACCCAACUUCUCUUCUCUCCGCAGCCCUGGAGAACACCUCCAAGAAGCCCAAGGGGGCAGGCCAGCACGGCCACAGCCAUGACAGCUCCUCAGACUCUGACAGCAGCAGCAGCUCCAGCAGCUCUGACAUGGAGGCUAAGCCCCACUCAGCAGGCUCAGGGACGCAGGGAAGCACCCCGAAAAAGGUCAAGAAGCCCAAGGUGAAAAAAGAGAAGGUGAAGAAGGCUGCCCACUGACGGGGCUGGGCUUGGCUCAUUAAACCUCUCAGCCUUC